GAUGAACGCUGGCGGCGUGCCUAAUACAUGCAAGUCGAGCGAACGGACGAGAAGCUUGCUUCUCUGAUGUUAGCGGCGGACGGGUGAGGAACACGUGGAUAACCUACCUAUACGACUGGGAUAACUUCGGGAAACCGGUGCUAAUACCGGAUGAUACUUUGUACCGCAUGGUUCAACAGGGAAAGACGGUCUUGCUGUCACUUAUAGAUGGAUCCGCGCUGCAUUAGCUAGUUGGUAAGGUAACGGCUUACCAAGGCAACGAUGCAUAGCCGACCUGAGAGGGUGAUCGGCCACACUGGAACUGAGACACGGCCCAGACUCCUACGGGAGGCAGCAGUAGGGAAUCUUCGGCAAUGGGCGAAAGCCUGACGGAGCAACGCCGCGUGAGUGAUGAAGGUCUUCGGAUCGUAAAACUCUGUUAUUAGGGAAGAACAUGUGUGUAAGUAACUGUACACCUCUUGACGGUACCUAAUCAGAAAGCCACGGCUAACUACGUG
rnacentral:rRNA from 1 species